GUCGCGGUGACGCGGGGUUUGAAGGAAGCGUGGAGCAAAGUCGCGGCCUGACGCACAGGAAUCGGAUCGUAGGCAGUACCGGUGGGACGAGCCGCCACGAAACGGCGAAGUCCUCCAUCCAUCGAAGGCCGGUGCUGUAAAUCCGGCGGGCGUGCGACGAAGGUUGUCAAAC
rnacentral:ncRNA from 1 species